GACGAACGCUGGCGGCACGCUUAACACAUGCAAGUCGAACGAGAGAAGAGAAGCUUGCUUUUCUGAUCUAGUGGCGGACGGGUGAGUAACACGUGAGCAAUCUGCCUUUCAGAGGGGGAUACCGAUUGGAAACGGUCGUUAAUACCGCAUAACAUAAUUGAACCGCAUGAUUUGAUUAUCAAAGAUUUAUCGCUGAAAGAUGAGCUCGCGUCUGAUUAGCUAGUUGGUAAGGUAACGGCUUACCAAGGCGACGAUCAGUAGCCGGACUGAGAGGUUGAUCGGCCACAUUGGGACUGAGACACGGCCCAGACUCCUACGGGAGGCAGCAGUGGGGAAUAUUGCACAAUGGAGGAAACUCUGAUGCAGCGAUGCCGCGUGAGGGAAGAAGGUUUUAGGAUUGUAAACCUCUGUCUUCAGGGACGAAAAAUGACGGUACCUGAGGAGGAAGCUCCGGCUAACUACGUGCCAGCAGCCGCGGUAAUACGUAGGGAGCGAGCGUUGUCCGGAAUUACUGGGUGUAAAGGGAGCGUAGGCGGGAUCGCAAGUCAGAUGUGAAAACUAUGGGCUUAACCCAUAAACUGCAUUUGAAACUGUGGUUCUUGAGUGAAGUAGAGGUAAGCGGAAUUCCUAGUGUAGCGGUGAAAUGCGUAGAUAUUAGGAGGAACAUCAGUGGCGAAGGCGGCUUACUGGGCUUUAACUGACGCUGAGGCUCGAAAGCGUGGGGAGCAAACAGGAUUAGAUACCCUGGUAGUCCACGCCGUAAACGAUGAUUACUAGGUGUGGGGGGACUGACCCCUUCCGUGCCGCAGCAAACGCAAUAAGUAAUCCACCUGGGGAGUACGACCGCAAGGUUGAAACUCAAAGGAAUUGACGGGGGCCCGCACAAGCAGUGGAGUAUGUGGAUUAAUUCGAAGCAACGCGAAGAACCUUACCAGGUCUUGACAUCGUAUGCAUAGCUCAGAGAUGAGUGAAAUCUCUUCGGAGACAUAUAGACAGGUGGUGCAUGGUUGUCGUCAGCUCGUGUCGUGAGAUGUUGGGUUAAGUCCCGCAACGAGCGCAACCCUUUUCCUUAGUUACCAGCGACUCGGUCGGGAACUCUAAGGAUACUGCCAGUGACAAACUGGAGGAAGGCGGGGACGACGUCAAGUCAUCAUGGCCCUUACGACCAGGGCUACACACGUGCUACAAUGGUUGGUACAAAGGGUUGCUACACAGCGAUGUGAUGCUAAUCUCAAAAAGCCAAUCGUAGUCCGGAUUGGAGUCUGCAACUCGACUCCAUGAAGUCGGAAUCGCUAGUAAUCGCAGAUCAGAAUGCUGCGGUGAAUACGUUCCCGGGCCU
rnacentral:rRNA from 1 species